AUUGAACGCUGGCGGUAUGCUUAAUACAUGCAAGUCGAACGGAAACGACAGGAGCUUGCUCCUAGGCGUCGAGUGGCGGACGGGUGAGUAACGCGUAGGAAUCUGCCAAGUAGUGGGGAAUAGCUCGGGGAAACUCGGAUUAAUACCGCAUAAUCCUUACGAGGGAAAGGAAGCCUCUUCUUGAAAGCUUUCGCUACUUGAUGAGCCUGCGUUGAAUUAGCUAGUUGGUGAGAUAAAAGCUCACCAAGGCGACGA
rnacentral:rRNA from 1 species